GCAUUAAUGGGGUAGUGGUAACCUGGGUCGUUGCCAUUAGAAGAUUCAACUGGAGUCUCGACCCGCCGGGGGUUCGAUUCCCCCUUAAUGCA